UUAUGGUUUAUAAAAUUUAUUUUAAAUUUAUUUUACAUAUAAAUUUUAGUGUUAAUUAUUAAUUAUUUAAAUAAUAAUAAAUUAUUAAUGUAGUAAUUAAUAUUAAAAAUUUAAGAAAUUAAGAUUUAGUAAUAUUAAAAUUAAUAACAAAUUUUGUGCCAGCAGUUGCGGUUACACAAAAAUUAAAUUAAAUUUUAUUAGUAAUUAAUAAAUAAAUUAAUAUUAAUAUAAAUAAAAUUUUAAAUUAUUAAGUGAAAUUUUAAUUUAAUUAAAAUUUAUUUUAAAUUAUGAUUUAAUAAAUUUUAUUAUAAACUAGGAUUAGAUACCCUAUUAUUAAAAUUUUAAAUUUAAAAUACUAAAAUAGUAAAUAUAAAUUUAUUUAAACUUAAAUAAUUUGGCGGUAUUUUAGUAUAUUUAGAGGAAUCUGUUUAAUAAUUGAUAUUCCACGAAUAAAUUUACUUAAUUUAUAUUUUGUAUAUCGUUGUUAAAAAAAUAUUUUUAAAUAAAAAUAAUAUUUAAUAUUUAAAAUUAAAAGUUAAAUCAGAUCAAGAUGCAGAUUAUAAUUAAGAAUAUAAUGGAUUACAAUAAAAUUAUUUAAAUGAAUAUUAAUUUGUAAUAAUUAAUUGAAGGUGGAUUUAAAUGUAAUUUUAUUUAAUUUAAUAAUGUGAUUUUUUAUUAAAAUAUGUACAUAUUGCCCGUCGCUUUCAUAUAUAAAAUUGGAAUAAGUCGUAACAAAGUAGAGGUACUGGAAAGUGUUUCUAGAAAGAA
rnacentral:ncRNA from 1 species